rnacentral:rRNA from 1 species
ACCCUAAAUACUCUCUAGUGACCGAUAGUGAACCAGUACCGUGAGGGAAAGGUGAAAAGCACCCCGGGAGGGGAGUGAAAUAGAACCUGAAACCGUGUGCCUACAACAAGUUCGAGCCCGUCAAUGGGUGAGAGCGUGCCUUUUGUAGAAUGAACCGGCGAGUUACGAUAUGAUGCGAGGUUAAGUUGAAGAGACGGAGCCGUAGGGAAACCGAGUCUUAAUAGGGCGAUUUAGUAUCAUGUUGUAGACCCGAAACCAUGUGACCUACCCAUGAGCAGGUUGAAGGUGAGGUAAAACUCACUGGAGGACCGAACCAGGGCACGUUGAAAAGUGCUUGGAUGACUUGUGGGUAGCGGAGAAAUUCCAAUCGAACUUGGAGAUAGCUGGUUCUCUCCGAAAUAGCUUUAGGGCUAGCGUCGAUGUUAAGUCUCUUGGAG